rnacentral:tRNA from 1 species
UGUUCUGUGGCGAAGUUGGUUAACGCGCCCUGUCUAGCGAACUUAGAGAGACGUUGGUUCAAUUCCCACCAGAACAA